rnacentral:lncRNA from 1 species
GAAAAAAAGAGAAAGAAAAGAAAAGAAAAAAAAGAAGAAAAGGAAAAAUAGGCGGUGCCUUGGAGGACAGGCCAGGGCUCUAGACCCAAAGAGCUGUGCUGCGGGAGAAGGACCUGGGUGGUGGCAUCAGAGCUACAGCGCAAGGAUCGUGCUCGCUGAAUGACCCCGAGUUCCCUCCUAGAGGUGCUCACCACCCCCUGGACCUGACUACGACUCCGCUCUUGGUCCACUUGGCUCCUUUGCUCCCCUCAUCCUGAUUCUUGACCCAAAGUUCAACCCUGGAAGACUACCCCUACUUCCCGGCCUUCGGGGCUUGGAGAGGGGAAAAGCCCCACUUUUGCCUCGUCACUAGAAACCCAGUCAUCUGAGUCAGCCGAGCAAAGUGACGUUAGGCCGACCUGGGCUCCUGGCGAGCAGAACAGAGGCGCUGCCACGAAACUCGUACCUGCGGCUAAGAGCAGUUCCCACCGACAGCAGGAUCUCCGUUUCAUUUGUAAAACGCGGGGAUGCGUGGCUUCCUCAGUCUGGUCCUGGGGACUUCCAGCAGGGCCGAGAAGCUUCCUUGUUCCUGCAUGGUUGAUUGUCUGAUGCCCUCUUGGCUUUUCUACAGCAGCAGCUAGCAUGACUUGGACGGUUCCUGUGGGUAGUAACAACUUAGCAAUGGAUAUAUAUAUAUAUAUAUAUAUAUAUAUAUAUAUAUAUAUAUAUAUUAUAACAAGUUGAUGACUUUUGGGGGGCCCUGUCAUGUGGAAGGAGUUAAUUAAAAUGUCACACAUCCUUUCAGCCCGGUUUCCAAAUCUACUUUGCCCCCCUUUCAAGUCUACUUAAAAGGCGAAGGGGGCCAUUCAUAGCGUGAGACCACAUUGAAGUUUCUCAAAAGCAUCGUCAAAAUCCGAGAGUGGUGUUAUAGAAUGGACUCUGCUCCCUUUAAAGCCUUGAUCCGGGUGUUCUUGGGUUUGUGGCCAAACAACACAGCGCCUCCUGCACGUACGUUCCCGCAACGCCGGCGGGCUAGACUGGAUUGAACGGGGAAGGUGCCAGGCAGCAGGGGCUUUGAUUCAGAGUGAACUUGAAGCCACGAAGAAGGAAAAGCAGUACUUCGGUUACUUCUUUGCAUUUAGUGAAGGCCUUUGUGGACACCUAACAAAUUCUGUUGGUGAAGUUGUUUAGUGCACCAAGAGACCAGUUUCCCCCAGAUUAAAAAGUGAAACAGUGGGGUCACUUCCUUCUAAGUCUUCGACUUGGCAACCGCACCUCCCCCCAACCCGAGUGGCGGCGGGAGGGAGGGGAGCGAAGGGCUGUUGCCUUCGCUUUCUGCUUAGUUGGUACCCAGAUAAGGAGUCCAAGCAUCCUAAACCUUG